rnacentral:misc_RNA from 1 species
AAAGGUUCAGCGAACGACGAACUCGUUGUAGGCCAGAGUGGUCUUCUUGCGUUUCUCUCGGUUUACAACUCUUCGCGGAUAAAUCGAAAAUGCCAAACAAUAGACAAAAGUGCGGAUAAACUUAGAUAUUAUUUCAAAUACUUCCCGAUUAUAUAUAUGAUUUGUUGACGUUUUAGUUGGACUUAAAAACAAAAUUAAUAUACAAGAAAAGCUCGGUUUUGUAGUAAUAAACAAGACUUAGUGUUUUACAAUGGCAAGUUUUGAAUUUUGCGUGUACUAUUCAAUUUGGUUUUUGGCAUCUUUGGUCAUGGCCAACGAAGACGUUGUAAGUGUUAAUAAACCAAUAGUUAAAUCUGUCAAGUCUUGGCAUUUUUCUGCAGAAUAUGUUCGGUGUUUCUGCAACUUACCUUCAUGUAUAUUGACUGGAUAUAUGUGUAAAUCAAGUGGUGGGGGCUGCUUUUCUGAUGUAAUUGUCCCUGGAAAUGAUGACAAAGGACGACACGGAUGCUUAGAAUUUCUGGAAGAAAAAUACAGAUGUCACGGAAAGAGCGGCAUCAAUGAAAGGACAACAAUUAGAAGAAAAGAAAACUCAAAAUCCCACUUGAUGUGUUGCCACCACGACAUGUGCAAUCACAUAGAAAGUCCUCAAACAUUAAAUAUCAUCAAUAAUACAUUAUUAGAUGAUCAGUCAGCAGAAGAAACAGAAAUCAAAUAUCCGCAGAGACAAGAGCCUGUAUUAUAUUCUGAUUCAGAAGUAUGGUUUAGGGCAGCCACCAUAGCCGUUCCUAUAUGUGGUGCCGUCAUUUUAUUUGUUCUUAUCGCUUUAGCUGUCAAAAUCCUAAAAAGCGAACAUCAAAAUUCUGUGAUUAACAAAUUAGGACCAGCGUACUAUGUUCAACCCAUUCAACAAAAGAACGCCAAAGAUAAAUGUAACCAAGAAAAUUUCCAUCUAACUUACGACAAUCUCCUUCGGAAAGAUUAUAUAGCACCACCGCACCAUAACUUCUUCUGCGCACACGCCGAAGAAUAUAAGGGACAGUUCCGAGAACCUUUAAUUCAAAGCGAGUGUAGUACUAGUGAAGAUAAAAAUAUUAAUCAUACAAGGUAUAAUCUCGUGAAUUACGAGGAUUCAGGCAAAUCCAUAAUUCUGGAAAUAGAGAAAGAAAACGUUCCUCGUUCUUAAAUCAGCUGAGAUUUUAAUUCAGGCGUAUAAUUUUCUACGGAAAAGAUAUUCUUAACAUAGAUUCUUAUGUUGUCUUGAAAAAGACUGACGAUUUUUAAAUCACUGUACUUAUAUGUAAGUUUUCUCUCGAAGAAAUAAUACAUUUCGACCGAUUUAACGAAUCAUAUUAUAAUUUAAAUUUUUACAUAACCGUUGAAUUAUUGUGAUAGUAUACUAAUGAAAGCAUUCGGCAGGUCUAAAAUGAUUUGCUUAGUAUAGGUAAUGGAUUUUGACAAGAGUAUGGUGUUAAAAAUUUCACGUAAACUUGUGUACUAAAUCGACAUUACUCAUAGCUCUUUUCAAAAUCCAAUACGUCUAGAAUCAAAAACUUAUCCCAUAUGGAGCUCUUUACUGCUAGCUCGUAUGAUUUAAAGACAAAGGAAAGAUGGUUUCGUUUAAUAGUAAUAUUCUAAUAUACUCUUACGAAAAUGUAUGAUUCGUUAAAUGUAAGGCUGUGAAAAUAAUGUGUAAUGUAAGGGUUUCUGUAUUAUCAUAGGUUUUGUAAAAAAUAUUGCAUCCAUCCGAGCUACUAGAAGAAGAGAUUGAAUUACUCAAAUCAUGAGAUAAGAACACGAACAAAAGAAGAACAAAUCAUAGAAAAAAGAGAAAAUCGAAUUAUAAAGACAAUAUUAAAGGGGCCAUAAUAGUAUCUAACUUAUAUAAAAUUUGAUGGAUUGGAAUAAGUCUACCCAACAUAGAGAGCUACUUUAUGAGAGCCAAUGUACCAGUAUUUUCAGAAAACUAGCAUUAAUAUCGAAAAAAUAUCUUCUUAGAGUGUGAUGUUGGCACCACGGUAUGGAAACAUCUGAGGCAGGUGUGAUAUUUAGAACUUCUUUCAGUCUCCCUCAGUUCUUUCUAUCUGUCUCUGACUUGCAUCCAAUUAUCGCUGAAAUGCUUCAGGUCGUCAGUUCAUCUGGUUGUUAGGCGGUCUCUAUAGCGUAGUGCUUCUUGUCUUGGCCUCCACUCGACAAUUCGCUAUGUGCAAGUAUUUGGAGGGGAGACUAGAAACGAUCGUGCGCGAGUAGCGGAGAAAUCUUGCAAUUUUCUUAACAUAUUUCUUAAAUAAUUCAUAUUGUCAAUUGAAAUUGUCAUAGACAUAUUUCAUACCUACUGUCAUUGAAGAAAAUGGGAUUUCGCAAAUGCUGUGUUUUAAAUUCGAAAAAUUAUAUGUUGCUCCACAAUAUUGAUAUGAUCUGCAAUUAUUAAAGUGAAUUUAAUUAAUUGUAUAUUGCUUGUAGUACUGCAUUUUAAUAAUUAAUUUUAUUUACUAAAUACAAUGUUUACCUUUUAAUAACAUAACCUCAACCUUACUUUUUCUUCUUAUUCUUUUUUUCGGCUAUGGCAUUGAUUGACAAUUAUCCAGUAACCAGGACUAAUAUAAUUGGCCAAUAUAAUUAAAGGUGCUAAAAAUGAUUGAUGUCAUCUUUGAUGCUGAUGCUAUGUCCGUCCCUAUGUCACUAGGUGUCGCUCUUCCGAACUUGCACGGUCCCAAGUGCCAAUAGGGCUUUUCAUUCAUUUGUUUCGAGCUUCUGUCGUAUGUUGUAUAAUCCGUGUAUAUUACUAUUAUACAGAGAUUAUACAACAUAUGACAUGAGCUCGAAACAAAUGACAAUCGAUGAAAAGCUAUACGUUUUGUCCAUCGAUUAUCUGAAAAUCAGGCAGGACACGUCUGUCCUGCCUUUUGUUUUUGUUCUACGAUGACAUGUUUUAAUGUCACACAAAAACACAAGUUUUAAUGUCAUACAAAAACACAAGUUUUAAUUCAUUUUUAAUUGUAACUGACAACAAAAGAAGUAAAAAAUAGAAUGCCUAUGAAUCCUAUGAUAACAGAAAUUCUUUAUUAUUUUUGAGAACUUAACCAUAUCAACUUCGGUUUUUCACAUAUUAUUUAGACACCGUGUAUCAACUUCGUUUAUUACGUAUUAUUUAGAUACCGCAUAUUGUCAAUAUGAUCUGUAUUUAGCAUAUUGAGAUUGUAAUAUUUUAUAUUUUGUCAACGUCAAUUGAAUGCAAGUUGUAUAAGGUGAUCUGUAUAACUGUCAAUUAUUAAUCCAUAGAAAUUAAUCUUGACAUUUGACAAAUUGUCUUGUCAUGUUCCAUCAACUUUUAAACAAAUAUGUAAACAAGUCUUAAAUAACUAGUAAGUUCAUUAUGAUUUCCUUCUACAAAUUUUAAAUACUUUCUAUUCAUCGCCGCCAUUGUUUGUGUACACUUGACAUAUAUGACGAUAUAUUACCAAUGACGUAUGAAGUACAUAUAUUAUACGUCAAAUGUCCGAAAAAAUAGCGGCGAUGAAUAGUCCUAUUGCCUAAACUAUUGACAUCAUAGCUACCAUGAUUGAUUGAAAUAUAAAUCGUAGUGUCAGUGAUCUGCUAAUUAAACCCGAUUUAUCCUAGCUUGUUCUUCCAGAUUCUGAAUGGACACAACGGAAAAAUGACUUGCUUAGAUAAUUGUUUUUAAAUUAUUUAGAUGUUAUACAUCAAAGUAGUGAAUGAGAAUUCAGUGUUCUAAUGACGUUGAAAUUUUUAGUAUGCAUUUGUAUUGUUCGUCGGCUAUAACUUUUCCCAUGCGUCACAAUUCAUUUUCAAACAAAUUAAGUCAAAACAUAAUAUGAAACGAACGUCGAUGUGUAUAUACAUUUUGUAUACUGUAUACUAUAUACUACACACAUCGGCGUACGUUUUACUUUAUGUUUUGACUUAAUUUGUCUGAAAAUGAAUCGUGACGCAUGGGAAAAGUUAUAGCGGACGAACAAUAUGUAUUGACUUGCAAUGUUUUUAGGAAGUGCUAGUGAAUAGGUCUAUUCAUCGCUUUUCUUUUUUUUUUUUUCGAACCCUUGACGCAUGACUUAUAAUAUAUUUUAUAUAUAUGUCAUUGGUUAAUGACGUAUGACGUAGAUAUAUGUCAUACGUCCAGGGUUAAAAAAAAGAAAGGCGAUGAAUAACCCUAUACAAAUUUUCCAGUUGCUAUUUAUUAAAUAAAGAAAUUUAUUAGCAAGCUUAAAAAAGUUAAUAUUUAUUCAUUGACAAUAUUUAGAAAUACCUACUACUGUACUGAAAUAACGUUUUUUGUAGUUGGAUAAGAAAAUAUUUUAAAAAUAUUUCAUGAAUAGAAUAAGUAAUAAAAUUCAACUGUAAAUAAUUAAAACCAUGAAUAGAAAUGUGAUUAUAUAAACAGUGUGUUCCAAAAAGGUGUAUAAAGAUUAACUACAGUUUAUAUUUAAUUUCUGUAGGUCAGAUAUGGGAAAUUAUGUAUAGCCUCGACUUACGGACGCCUCUGACUGCUAAAACGAUCGGAAACUCCGUAUUCAUUCAGUGGCGUAUCUACGAAGUGCUUGCUAAGUGUUAAUAAUGUUAUAGGCUAUUAAGACACUUGCGCACGUCAUUAUUUCAUUGUCAUAUAUUUCUGCUGCUAAAAGGGUCCCUUUAAAAUCUGCCUGAAGGAGCUUUAACACGUUUGACCUUUGCUGUACGUUAAUAUGUAUGAAUGGUCAAACCACUUAUCGUUUUUUGUAGUAAUUUCUAAAUUCAUUCAUUCAUAGAGCUUUUCAUCGAUUGUUAUUUGUUUCGAGCUUCUGUCAUAUGUGGUAUAAUAUGUGUAUAAUAUUAACAUACACAAACGUUUGUUAUUUUGUAUAAGUGAUUGAUGUGAUCGUUCAUGGGUAAUCUUUCAUUUUUCCGACUGUAUUUGAGCUUUAACUGAAACUGAUGCUAUAGGACUUUUCAUUCACAGUCAUUUGUUUCGAGCUUCUGUGAUAUGUCACAUAAUAUUAAUAUAUCUGAGACAUACGUUAUUGGUAUAUACAAUAAUACACACCAAAAACGUAUGACGUAGAUAUAUUAAUAUUAUGUGACACAUGACAGAAGCUCGAAACAAAUGACAAUCGAUGAAAAGCCCUAUACGCUGUGAGCUCAUACCUAGAGGGGAUAUUUAAAAAUUCGCGAGCGCCAGUAGUGACAAGUUUGUAAACGUUUACUGGAAAUUUGACAUAAAUGUCAAAGUGAUUAAUUUAAAAUUAAAAUUAAAAACAUUAAUUAUAAAAAAUAUUAGUUGGUCAAAGCUGUGGUAUAUAUUUUUACCUUAAAUAUACUUCCGUUUUAAAUACUGAAUUUAAGUUUUUUUAAUGUUCCGUAAUAUGUAAUUAUAAAUUAAUCUAUUAAUCUUAGCGCCAUCUACACGAUAAUUGUGAAAGUAUCCGAAGUACAAGUAAACAGGGAUAACAAAAACUCUCAAGGUCACUUUUACCGCAUAAACGAACGUCUGUUAUCGCUUCUCCUCACAGUUGCAGACAAAUUGGUUAUACAAUAAGAAAUUAAUAUUUCAUCAAUAGAACGUCAAAAUGAUUAGCAAAAUCUUAAAAAAAUCGAUUACAAUUUAAUUACUUUUUUGCGUUGUAAAUAUUAAGCGAUAACAAUUAAAUAAUAAAUUUAAAAAUUACCGGUGAAAGUUGCAUUACUAAUCCGCUAGGAGCGACACCAGCGAAGCUCAGAGCGUAUAGGGCUUUUCAUUCACAGUCAUUUGUUUCGAGCUGCUGUCAUAUGUUGUAUAAUCCGUGUAUAUUAAUAUUAUACACGGAUUAUACGACAUUUGACAGGAGCUCGAAAUAACUGACAAUCGAUGAAAAGCCUUAUUUACGGUAUGCGGCAAAAUAAACAGUACUGAAAUACGUAUGCGUCUAAUUUGUAUGUGUCAUGCACUGAGUGGUUUACGAACGUCGUUAUAACGUAAAAAUUUUUUAUCGUGGAGUACUAUUUUCGGUCAUACGGAAAAGGUCGCGAAAACAGUCCAAGCUUAAAAUCAACAAUGGUUUCAACAGGACGGGUAACCUGUCACACGGCCAGUGAGUCUUCAAACACUGCGCAAUCAUUUUGAGAGAUUGCCACUCACUAGACCUAACGCCACCUGAUGCGUACAUAUGGGGAAUGCUGAAGGAGGCAGACUGAUCCACCGUCUGACAUUUCGGAAUUGCGGACUUGAAUUAAAGAUUUUCUCGUGCCAGAGGGCAUCUUUAACAUCUGUUUUAUCGGGAACGUCGUCCUGAAUAAUGUUCGCAAGGCUAUAUCACAAAUGUAUAAUCAUAAACAUUUCGAUAUUCAUUUCAGUAGGUACUGUUUAAUAUGCUGCAUACUGUAUAUGAAGCAUUUUUAUGCUGGCUUCAGUAGUUUAGUAGGUUUCAGCUGGGAUCUCGUGGAUCGGUAACGCUCAUAGAUUGAUCCUUAUGGGAAGCAUCUAAACAUUCCGUAUAUAUGUAUUUGGCACCUAGGAGUUUUCUAUUGGUUCCUUGCGCCUUGCGGCACGCGGUCAUAUUUCAACCAAUACGCGCCGAGGUGCCAAACGCAUAUACGGAAUGUUAUUCGGUGCGAAAUUCAUAUACGGAAUGUUAAAUAUUCGUAGACGGAAAAAGAUAACUUUUUUUUAGUCAGUGAAAAGGAGAUUGAUUUUAAAAUACUUGUUAAUGUAUUAUUAAAUAAAAAUAAAACAAUUAUAGUAUUUGGAAUGUUAUUUGGUGCAAAAUUCAUAUGCAGAAUGUUAAAUAUUCGUAGACUAAAAAAGACGACUUUUAAAGAAAACUGACGGUUAAAGAAAACUGAUUUUAAAAUAUUUACUCAUUUAACUGAACUCAUUUACAAAAACAGUUCCAAUUUAUAGCCCAUCGUUAUUUCUCGAAAAUUCUGUCCAUCUCUAGUUAUCGUCCAGACGUUCUUUGCUCGUCUUUCCGUCCCGCUACAUCGCGUCAUAUCUAGAAACAUCGUCGUGGAAUGCCUGCGUGGAGAUGGGACCUGUUAUACGACGGUCGGUCAAAAGUAAUAUUUUGUUACAGUAUUAUUAAAUAAAAAUAUAACAAGUAUAGCAUAUGGAAUGUUAUUUGGUGCGAAAUUCAUAUACACGGAAUGUUAAAUGUUCGUAGAUAAAAAAGACGACUAUUUUCGUCUGGUAGCGCACAGCCCUAAACUUCAACAGAAAUAACAGAAUUGAAUAGCUGAAACAUAAAUCUAAACAUACUAUACAACACGUGCAAGUCAUUAAAAAUUCUGCGAAAGCGAAAUAGAAAUAAAGAAAUAAUAAAGUCUCUCAAAUCUAUACCAUAUACCUAUCUAUACCUAUACCAUAUUCCGCAUAUGAAUUUCGCACCAAAUAACAUUCCAAAUAAUAUAAUUGUUUUAUUUUUAUUUAAUAACACAUUAACAAGUAUUUUAAAAUCAAUCUCCUUUUAACUGACUAAUAAAAAGUUAUCUUUUUCCGUCUACGAAUAUUCAACAUUCCGUAUAUGAAUUUCGCACCGAAUAACAGUCCGUAUAUGCGUUUGGCACCUCGCCGCGUAUUGGUUGAAAUAUGACCGCCUGCUGCAAAGAACUAAUAGAAAACUCCUAGGUGCCAAAUACAUAUACGGAAUAUUUAGAUGCUUACGGGACAGUAUAAAGAGCGACAGUAAAACCUCUUCCAUGUCGGCACUUUGAUCUCAAGAAGUAAUACCGGCAGUACGAAAUUGGUAAUACACCAGUGGGGGAUGCGGGUUUUCCCUGUACGUUUCUAUGCGAAUAGCAAUGCGAGAGUGGGGCAAAAGCGACUGCGAACAUUGCGCGGUCGCCAUGCGCGACUAAAGAUUUUACUUCCAAAUUUUCGGAGAGUGGUUCUACUGUCCCUCUUUAUACUGUGCGACAGUAGGCGACGUUAGAAAAAUGGUGCAUACAUUUGUGACAUGCAAAUACCAACGUAUUUAGAAAAAAUCACAUUUUGCUAUACAUUGUUUUAUCGAUAACCAGCAUUUUAUAUUUUUAUAACUAUCUUUUUGGAAAACAGUGUAUUAUUAAUUUUACCAAUAUGAUUAAGUAAAAUACUGAUAAAAAACUUCUCGAAAUGAGUACAGCAAUAAUUAUCACACAUGAUAAACCCAUAUUUGUAUCGGAUGGUCCGAAUCUCCCUGUGUAAGAACUGCUCAAUAGGUACUCAUUUUUUGUAUAUAGUGUAAAGUUUUGUACUUAUUUUUUAUGUAUUUAAUAAUAAACUCGACAAUAAUUACAAUUGUAAUGUAUUUUUAAAACAUACUACAUUGUUGCUUAUUUAUAAUAUUGUUCCUGUAUCAUCCGUUGUAGUAGAUUUUGUAAUUUAUAAAUAUAAGCAAUAAAUUUUAUUUG